rnacentral:rRNA from 1 species
AGCAGUAGCCACGGUAAUACGGAGGGUGCAAGCGUUAUCCGGAUUUAUUGGGUUUAAAGGGUCCGUAGGCGGAUCUGUAAGUCAGUGGUGAAAUCUCACAGCUUAACUGUGAAACUGCCAUUGAUACUGCAGGUCUUGAGUAAAUUUGAAGUGGCUGGAAUAAGUAGUGUAGCGGUGAAAUGCAUAGAUAUUACUUAGAACACCAAUUGCGAAGGCAGGUCACUAAGAUUUAACUGACGCUGAUGGACGAAAGCGUGGGGAGCGAACAGGAUUAGAUACCCCUGUAGUCCCUGUCUCUUAUAA